AAAAAAAAGAUUGCAUUUUCAGAACUCCAAAUUACCACAUCGGGAGGCAAAAUACUUCCUUUCUUUGUGUGAUACAUAUGUACAUAUAUUUUUUUUUCAAGUAUGUGCACUUAGAAUAACUUUAAGAUGCUUUACCAUUGUGGAGCUUUACUGACAUCUGUCAUACCUUCUAGUUAGAGCAGUGGUCCCGUUCAUUCUUUUACAUCCUUAUUGUAACUAUAGAAAAGCAGCUAUAGCAAUGGAUCUCAGACUGACUCUGAACACCUUGAUAGCCAAGUAGUGGUUAGCAUCAGACUUUAUUGAAAAUUACAGGCUAGUAUGCAGUGAGUAGUCUUGUGGUCAUAUUGUAUGAAAGCAUGUGGAAACAGCUUAUGUAUUGUAAUGGGAAGUCCAAACCCUGUUUCCCUUGUAAUAUGAAAUAUUCAAUUGAAUUUUUACUGACAUGGUAGCAUGUGGUGUUUUAGUUUUUGUUUUACUUGCUGUAAUAGUAAGUUGCUUGCUUCUGUUACCAUAUUUCUUAAAUAGCUAGAAAGAACUUUUUAGUUGAAAGUUUAUAAUUCGUCCCAGGCAGUGGUGGUGCACUCUUUUAUUCCAGCACUCAGGAGGCAGAGGCAAGAGGAUCUCUGGGUUCAAGUCCAUCCUGGCAUACAGAUUGAAUUCCAGGACAGCCAGAGCUGCAUAGUGAGACUCUCUUUCAUAUAUAUAUAUAUAUAUAUAUAUAUAUAUAUAUAUAUAUAUAUAUAAAGUUUCUAAUUAACUUUUCACUCAGCAUGAACUGAAACGGAGAAGUAAGGUUUACUGUAGAAAUCAAAAUAUUAGCUGUGACUGUAGGUCAGUGGCAUAGUGCUGGGUUCGCAUAUACAAGGCCUUGGGUUCAGUCCCUAGCACAACUGAAAAAGAGACAAAAAUGAAGGAAAGAAAAGAAUAAAAUGAUAAUGUUAGGCAUGAGAGAUAAUUUGGUUCACUUCACCGUCACUAACACUAGGAAACUGUGUGUGCAAAGCAUCUCAUGUUUUAUUAGGAAUCUGUAGGGUAACAAGUGGGAGACUCUGAAGGUGGUUAUAAUUGGUAACCUAGAAGCUGUCAGAUGCAACAGUGAAGCUCCCGUGAAGGAGCAGAGCUUAUGGGAUUGGGUGGAAAGAGUUCCUUAAAAAAAUAGAAAACAUUUUUGCUCGUAAUAUAACAAGCCCAUUGAAAUAAGUGCCUUAACUUCUUUAUUUCUAAAUUCAUUUUAUAUUUCAUACCAUAUUAUCCAUUUUCUUUUUCCAUAAGAAAAUAUUGGUGACAUUUCCACCUUGAGAAAUCGCACUAAGGCUGAGAAGGAAGUCCCAUGGUAGAGUCCUUUUCUAGUGUACAAGAGGCACUGUUUUAUCUCCAGCACAACAAAAAAUGUCUCCGUGCCAUUGACACUUAACUUCAAAUUCAACAAUAAGCAAGUCUUUGUCAGGAACAUACAGUCUCCUAAGUUAAUUUAUUUAGCCUCUUGAAUGCCAAAUAGUUCAACAAGUGAAACUGACUUCAUAGGAGAUGUAGUAUGGACUCUGUGAGUUUAGUAAUGUUUUUAUGACUUUGGCAUUUGUAUCCUGGUGUUUUUAUUAUAUUGGCAGAGUUUUACAAUCUAAGUAGUAUGUACUGUACUUCAGCACUAACUUUACACACACAUCCACACUCUCACACACACAGAGGCUUUUCUUUCCAGGACAGUAACCCAAAUUGCCAGUAGCAUCAGUGUUCUGACUCUCUUCCAUACCAGCCAGAUUCAGUCAACAAAGAAUGGAGAGAUGGAGGUCAAAGUGUUAACAAUUUGAGAUUGAAAAACAUGCCUAAAAAUGGAUUAUUAAUUUCUUAUAUAACUUUCCUAUUAAAUUUGUUUUGAGAAAUCUUCUUUGGGGCCUCUUAUUUUUGAACUGGUAACACAUUUUGAAGCCUCUUUUUGUAUGAAAGUAGUAUUUUCUUCAGUUGGCAGAGUUUUUAACAUUUCUGUGUAAAUUGAUCUUUUGGUAAAUUUAUUUUUAUUGCAUGAAUAUUUCAAAGACAUAUGCUACCAAUUCUGUAUACUUAAGAACCCUUUUAAAGCUAGUAAUUACUUUCUAAUUUAUAUCUUAGUAUACCCUUCUUUUAUCCAGCUUACUGUGUGUGGUGGUGCAUACCUGUGAUUCUAGCACUUGGGAGAUAGAGACAGGAGGAUCAAGUGUUCAAAGUCAUCCUCAGCUAUAUAAAUGAGUUUGAGACUAGCCUGGGCUGCAUGAGGCACCCCCCCCAUAAAGAAAUAAGUUCAUACAUUAAAUAAAGAGUCUCUGUUGUUGCUAUUUGCUAAUAGUGUUUAGACUCUAUUUGUAUUGGAAUCCUGGCUCUGGCUGGGUGGUGGUGGCAGAAGCCUUAAAUCCCAGAACUGGGAGGCAGAGCCAGGCAGAUCUUUGCGAGUUUGAGGUCAGCCUGGGCUACAGAGUGAGUUCCAGGACAGCCAAGGCUACACAGAUAAAUCCCAUCUCGGGAAAAAAAAAAACAAAGAAUUCUGGCUCUGCAAAUUACAAGGAAAAUCAAACAACUUCUUACUUAAAUUAUUUAGUCUUUUAAUGUGUAAGGCUAAUUGCUUUAAAUAAAAUUAAAUGCAGCAGUGCAAAAGAAUAUAUAUGAUAGCUUAUUUUCUGUCUAGUAAAGUUUCUAAAUUAAUAUACUUACUUGCUUCUGUAAUAAAAUGGACAUUUUGGAACCAAAUGUGUUGAAUUUAGUAUAAAGGUUUUGUGAAAAAAUGUCAUAAAAGCAACAUUCGGUAUCUCUUUAUUUACUUUUGGAUGUUUUAAGCUGAUAGCCUUGUACAGCUACUAAGGAGUGAAUACAGCUGCCUUUAUGUAGGUUUGUCUCUUAGUCAAAUCUACAUGACAUAUAUGUAUUUAAAUUAAAUGUGUUCUUCCUGUAACUAAGGUUGGAUCUCUGUGAAAUUAUAAAAUGUCAGGAAAUGCAAAUACUUUACAAGAGUUGUCUAUAGACAGUUUCAUUCCAGAUUUUGUAACAUAAAUGUCCUUUAUCAACGAUGGUUCUUUCAUGUUCCUUUACUCUCCUUGUUUUGUUUUCAUAAUAAAACCUCUCAGAAUUUUAAGCUGU
ensembl:lncRNA